rnacentral:tRNA from 1 species
UGCGUCCGCAGUCCGUUGCGGGACCUCGCCGUCGAGAGCGGCGGCGAGGUCCGCGCCGCCGCGGUGCGGAUCGUCACCGAUCCGGCGCGG